AUUGAACGCUGGCGGCAGGCCUAACACAUGCAAGUCGAACGCGUGGCGGACGGGUGGGACAUGUCUGGGACACUGCGCGAUGGAGGGGGAUAACUACUGGAAACGGUAGCUAAUACCGCAUACCAACGGACGUGGCCAGAUGGGAUGAGCUAGUGUGUGGGGUAACGGCUCACCGAGGCGACGAUCCCUAGCUGGUCUGAGAGGAUGACCAGCCACACUGGAACUGAGACACGGUCCAGACUCCUACGGGAGGCAGCAGUGGGGAAUAUUGCACAAUGGGCGCAAGCCUGAUGCAGCCAUGCCGCGUGUAUGAAGAAGGCCUUAGGGUUGUAAAGUACUUUCAGCGAGGAGGCGUUACUCGCAGAAGAAGCACCGGCUAACUCCGUGCCAGCCGCCGCGGUAAUUC
rnacentral:rRNA from 1 species